AAGGACCCAGCCAAUAGGGUGUGGGGCUUCAUUGUUACUUGUUUUUUAAUUAGGAUAGGAUGCGACAAGCCUAAGGAGGAGGCGCGUGCUUCUGUGAAUGUCAGACAUUAUAUCAAUUAUGCUGAAGAACUGCAUUUUUCCUCCCACAGUGAAGCCUGAGGGUUAGAAGGCGGUGAGAUAGCACCUGCUGCUUAUUCCUGCUCUGACAGACCAAACAGAAUGCCAGCAACAUAGUCCUGCACGGGGAAGAUCUGCCUUGGGCAGGGACUGCUGGGAAACCUGACCAUGUGUUAGGAUGCACAACUUUCCCAGGGUUUCAUUCAUCAGACACUGGCUGCGUAGCUCCUCCAUGCCAGGGGCAAGACUCAAGUGUGGAAUAGUAUGGUGAAUCAGAUGGGGCUCUCUGUGAACAGAGCUGGAGAGGCCCUAGAGAAACAGAGGGGUCAUGAAGAAGCCAUGCAUGGGCUGCGGAUGGAGGAACAUUGGUAUGCCUGGCGUUUGAGAAGUACUUCUCAGAGCAGAGGACUCCUGAACUGUGACUAGUCUCUAAGUGCUUGUGAGACAGCAAUAGGAGCAGGCAAUGGCUAGGGGAGUCUGGUACUCCAUCAAUACACAACUCAGACAUUAGCAUGCUUUUAAAAAUAUUAAAAUCCUCUGUACUUUUG
rnacentral:lncRNA from 1 species